GAAAGACACCCUGGAAAGGCUGGCGUGGGCACAGGCUGCCCAAGGAGGGACACUGCCUGCAGAGCCAUGGCAUGAAGCAAGCCUCCCGGGCCCUAUGUGCCCUGCUCUGGGGACACCAGGGGAGGGGAACAACCUGCAAUUCAUGAAAUUUACAUGAAUUUAUGAAGGGGAGAAAAACCCUGAAGUCACUGAGCUUACUUUGAAUUGCGAAGAUUACGUUUUCCACUGCCUGCUGGAGUACAGGCCUGAGGCUUCUAAAGACUUAACUAAAUAGAAGAUGGCCAUUAAUGUCCUUCCUGAUGUUUUUAUACAAUAUCCUUUACUUUUCAAGGACAGAAAAGGCUUGAACUUUGGAUCAUGUAGUAACCAAAGAUGGAGUCUCGCUCUGUCGCCCAGGACGGAGUGCAAUGGUGCAAUCUCAGCUCACUGCAAGCUUCGCCUCCCAGGUUCACGCCAUUCUCCUGCCUCAGCCUCCUGAGUAGCUGGGACUACAGGCGCCUGCCACCAUGCUCGGCUAAUUUUUUGUAUUUUUAGUAGAGAUGGGGUUUCACCAUAUUGGACAGGCUGGUCUCGAUCUCCUGACCUUGUGAUCUGCCUGCCUCGGCCUCCCAAAGUGCUGGGAUUACAGGUGUGAGCCACUGUGCCCAGCCCCCUUACAUCUUUUCUAAAGUUGUUGGUCUGCAAACUACUGGAACUGGUGGCCAAUGGUUCAGCUAGCACAUUAAAUCUAAAUCUUGCAUUAGGGAACUCAUAUCAAUAAAUUUGACUUGCUCCAACAUUAUGUUCACCCUCCUGGGUCUAGCAUCAUUGCAAUUUAUUUCUAAAUCUCCCCCCUGACUUCUGCCAAUGUAAACUAAAAAAUCUUGAAAUUCUUUUCAUAUUUAAGCUAUAUCUUUCCUAGACUGCAAUCUUUUGACUUGUCUUGAGAUGUACGUGGGAAUCUACUCUAGAC
rnacentral:lncRNA from 1 species